AGGAAUUUUAGUGUUUAAGUUUUUGUCAAAUAAUUUUUUUUCUUAUUUUUGAAUUUCAAAUUUUUUCAAAAAUAUUUGAAGACUUUGAGAAUUUGAAUAAAAAAUUCUAGAAUUUAAGAAAAGAAUACUAACAAUUUGCACACACACAAAAAAAUAUUACGGUAAUGACAAAAGUAACUUACUUUUGAAUCAAAAAGUUGUUAAAAUUUGCUACAUUAAAAGUUUUUUUCUUGUUUUGAAAAUGAAAACUUUCACUGCUACAGUUUUUGAAAAUCUCAUUGCUCACUGAUUUAAAAGUUUUUCCUUUUAAUUCGACUGUAAAAUUUCUUUCAUUUUGACGUUCUCGUGUAACCGUGUACGCCUAAGUCGCAAAUGUAAACAAACACUUUGGUGGGUCCGGUGGUGCUGGUGAGUCUAGGACGCAAAGCAAAGCCGACCGCGGCAGUAGCCAUGACUCGGACGCGGAAACCUUCGUGAGCCAAACAGCAGCAGCGGAACGCCUUCGAAGGAGGGUGGUGCAGGAGUGGGACGAUGUUGAGUGCUCGAAAAGGACAAGGCCAGCUUUCUGCAGGAACUGCAGCUGUUCCACGGCCGGAAUUCGAUGAGAAGUAGGAAUGUGGAUUCGCACCGGUUGUAUUCGGUGGUGGUGGCCCGGGAUUGGUGAUUGAAGGUCAAUUCCCGCGAGGACUGUAACGAGAUCAUCGAGGAGAUGGCGCUGCCGAAGCGUUGCGUGAAAAACGAGAUUGCGUUGAAGAAGAUUAACUUCCGGUUUUUGGACAAGUACGAGAAAGUUUAUUUUCACGGUGAGGAGAGGAUCCGACGAAGAGGAGGACGACGAAAAGCUACAUAAUCGGAGGUGGUCAGCGCAGAUGUUGCACUCGGUGCCGGCGGUUUACAACACCGCAACUUCCCGCCCACAAACACUCACCUCGCGACGGCGCAGCUUCAGCCGAAUGAACCUGGACAGUGAGCCAAAAAAAAAUCUGUGUCAUUCCCGAAGUAGGAUUACGUGCUCAAAAUAGAAUUCCGUUCCGAGG